GAAAGUUGAAAAGUACUUUGAAGAGAGAGUAAACAGUGCGUGAAACCGCUCAGAGGUAAACGGGUGGAGUUGAACUGUGAUCUCUGUGGAUUUAGCUGGUGAGCAUGGUUUGGGCUUGGUCAAAUUGGUUGAAGCCGGGAAUCUGCGUAGCAGCAGGUCCUCACCUUCGGGUGGGGAUGCGCGAGGCACUCAACAAGUGUUGCGCGUUCCAUGUUUAUCGUGCCAGCUUGCCAGUGCACUUUCACAGAGUGGUCACCACGACCGGCAUUGCUGUCUGGCUGUUGCGGUUAAACCGGCCUUUCUUUGUCCUCGUGGCUUUGAAUGGUCGGGAUGGCAGGUAGCUCGUUGGCUAGGCUUGUGGUUCGCUGCAGGCUUCCGGCUCUCGGGUGUAAUCAGCUGACCGCAUUGGUUCUGUGCAGUAUGUCGGAGACGGCGGCUUGUGGUACAUGCGUGCGUACUAGUUGGUUGGCGAACUCGAGUUUGGUUAUUAUGUUGCUUGUGUAAGCAGGCCUAGUGAUGGCCCGGGUUCGUUUGACUGGCAGUUGCGUGCGUAGUGCUUUCCAGGGCCAACAGU
rnacentral:rRNA from 1 species